GUGUCAGCAGCCGCGGUAAUACGUAGGGUGCAAGCGUUGUCCGGAAUUAUUGGGCGUAAAGAGCUCGUAGGCGGUCUGUCGCGUCGGCUGUGAAAACCCGAGGCUCAACCUCGGGCCUGCAGUCGAUACGGGCAAACUAGAGUACUGCAGGGGAGACUGGAAUUCCUGGUGUAGCGGUGAAAUGCGCAGAUAUCAGGAGGAACACCGGUGGCGAAGGCGGGUCUCUGGGCAGUAACUGACGCUGAGGAGCGAAAGCGUGGGGAGCGAACAGGAUUAGAUACCCUGGUAGUCCACGCCGUAAACGUUGGGCGCUAGGUGUGGGGGCCAUUCCACGGUCUCCGUGCCGCAGCUAACGCAUUAAGCGCCCCGCCUGGGGAGUACGGCCGCAAGGCUAAAACUUAAAGGAAUUGACGGGG
rnacentral:rRNA from 1 species